AACUGUCUCUGAGGAGCUCAGAGCUGCCAUAGCAAAGAACUCCCUGUUCCGCCAGAGGUGCAAUAAUUUCUUCAUUGACAUGGUCACCACCAUGUGCUUCAAGGACAACGAGCCCCCUGAGCCAGAGGUGAUCCAGAGGCUCUUGAACCUGCUCUUUGUUCACAGAAGCCUUGUGAAAGACCCAAGUCACCCUGCUGUCUACACAAAAUUCC